CAGUAGUUGUGGGGGAGCUGGGGAAGUCCGCCUACGCCACGUCAAACGGGGCUUCGGCGAGACAAGGCUCGGCUGAGAGGUCCCAAGUCGCGGAUUCGAUAAACUCACCGCAGGGACGACCCAUCGAACCUGUAGGGUAAUGCCUGCGGAGGGAAUAUGAAUACCAGAUAC
rnacentral:ncRNA from 25 species